rnacentral:rRNA from 1 species
GACGAACGCUGGCGGCGUGCUUAACACAUGCAAGUCGAACGAUGAAGCUGGAGCUUGCUCCAGUGGAUUAGUGGCGAACGGGUGAGUAACACGUGAGCAAUCUGCCCUUGACUCUGGGAUAACUGCGGGAAACUGUAGCUAAUACCGGAUACGACACCUUGGGGCAUCCCGGGGUGUGGAAAGAAUUUCGGUCAAGGAUUAGCUCGCGGCCUAUCAGCUUGUUGGUGAGGUAAAGGCUAACCAAGGCGACGACGGGUAGCCGGCCUGAGAGGGUGACCGGCCACACUGGAACUGGGACACGGUCCAGACGCCGACGGGAGGCAGGAGUGGAGAAUAUUGCACAAUGGGCGAAAGCCUGAUGCAGCAACGCCGCGUGAGGGAUGACGGCCUUCGGGUCGUAAACCUCUUUUAGCAGGGAAGAAGGGAAAGUGACGGUACCUGCAGAAAAAGCACCGGCUAACUACGUGCCAGCGGCCGCGGUAA